CAGUAGCCGCGGUAAUACGUAGGUCCCGAGCGUUGUCCGGAUUUAUUGGGCGUAAAGCGAGCGCAGGCGGUUAGAUAAGUCUGAAGUUAAAGGCUGCGGCUUAACCAUAGUACGCUUUGGAAACUGUUUAACUUGAGUGCAAGAGGGGAGAGUGGAAUUCCAUGUGUAGCGGUGAAAUGCGUAGAUAUAUGGAGGAACACCGGUGGCGAAAGCGGCUCUCUGGCUUGUAACUGACGCUGAGGCUCGAAAGCGUGGGGAGCAAACAGGAUUAGAUACCCCGGUAGUCCCUGUCUCUUAUACA
rnacentral:rRNA from 1 species